rnacentral:rRNA from 1 species
GACGAACGCUGGCGGCGCGCUUAACACAUGCAAGUCGAACGGAAAGGCCUGCUUUCCCUUGUGGAUUGCGGGUACUCGAGUGGCGAACGGGUGAGUAACACGUGAGUGAUCUGCCCCCAACUUGGGUAUAAGCCUGGGAAACUGGGUCUAAUUCCCGAUAGGACUGCAGGGUGGUGCCUGUGGUGGAAAACGAUUUUCUAGUGGAUGGGGAUGAGCUCGCGGCCUAUCAGCUUGUUGGUGGGGUAAUGGCCUACCAAGGCGGCGACGGGUAGCCGGCCUGGGAGGGUGGACGGCCACAUUGGGACUGAGAUACGGCCCAGACUCCUACGGGAGGCAGCAGUGGGGAAUAUUGCACAAUGGGCGGAAGCCUGAUGCAGCGACGCCGCGUGGGGGAUGACGGCCUUCGGGUUGUAAACUCCUUUCGACCGCGAGGAAGCCACCUGGUUGGAAGGGUGGUGACGGUAGUGGUAGAAGAAGCACCGGCUAACUACGUG